CAUGAAGCUGGAAUCGCUAGUAAUCGCGAAUCAGAAUGUCGCGGUGAAUACGUUCCCGGGUCUUGUACACACCGCCCGUCACACCAUGGGAGUCGGAAAUGCCCGAAGUCAGUGACCCAACCACAACGUGAACUUCGUUCGCGUGGAGGGAGCUGCCGAAGGUGGAGCCGGUAACUGGGGUGAAGUCGUAACAAGGUAGC
rnacentral:rRNA from 1 species